UACAGAGGGUGCAAGCGUUGUUCGGAAUUAUUGGGCGUAAAGCGCGUGUAGGCGGCUUGGCAAGUCGGGUGUGAAAUCCCUCAGCUCAACUGAGGAAGUGCGCCCGAAACUGCUUUGCUUGAGUGCCGGAGAGGAUGGCGGAAUUCCCCAAGUAGAGGUGAAAUGCGUAGAUAUCAGGAGGAACACCGGUGGCGAAGGUGCUCAUCUGGCCCAAUACUGACGCUGAGGCGCGAAAGCUAGGGGAGCAAACGGG
rnacentral:rRNA from 1 species